CUGUGUUUUUUUAUUGUACCUGGUCAUUGCAGUGUCGUCUCUGCAGGACUCUAUGAUGUCGCUCUGUGAAAAACAUGUCUGCUGUGUGCGAGCUCAACAGCUAGCGUUGUAAACCCAUCAAGAGUUGCCAUGGUGACCUGGUCCGGGCUUGGACCAGGGAUAAAAAGUCCAUAGCAGCCCGAUACACGCAGAUCUGCGGAGACAGGUGGCUGUAGGUGUAGAGAGCUCCUCCUGUCAGAUAUGGAAUGUGCCCCGGCCAAGCCCCGCCCACAUCUUGCUGGGAGAGAAGGAACAGGUGAACGCCGCAGCCCUGACCCACGCACUGAUUGGCCAAUGAGAUAGCUGACUCUGGCGGCUGAAAGAUGGACUGAGGGGAAAAAAAGAGGGAAAAACAGCGAUCAAUGUUUCAUUGUAAGUGAACCACAAUAAAGUGACUCCUUAAAACUGUGGGAGAAGGAUGAUCUGACUAGUAUGUGAGUAAUUCUGACCCGUGUCCCAAAAAUAUUUUUCUAGAGACUAAUAGUUGUGGGAUAGUACAUUAUACUGUAUGGUACAGGCUAUAAUGUAUGUGUGUGGAUGUGGGUUAAGUACCUUCGGUUUGUUGGAGCCAAAAAACCCUGAGGAUGAGUUUGCAUGUGCCAUCUCUAUUAGAGGGGCAGUAUGGAAGAGCAACAGCUUUCCAGGACAAUUCAGAGCCUAGAAACAACAUGAAUAAAGUUUUUAUUAUUGUCCUUGCAGUGCCUUGAUGAAAUAAAAAGGAAACAGCAACAUUAUCAUUUCUUUUUGUGCAGCCAUAUUGAACACAGAAAACGUCAAUCAACUUUGAAGAAAACCUGCCAGUGUGAGUGCGAGCUAGAGCCUCACCCGAUUAAUCGGCUGAUAUUAUCAUAUCAAGUGAGUGUGUUAUAUGGAUUACAAAGCAUUAUCACUCUCCAGGCUGUCAAGCGGUGAUGCACAUACAGGCAGUUAUUUUCCAGUUGAGUGAUGCGUCUUCAUUUUUUUUCUUUUCCACAAAUGUAUGAUAACUGUAUGUGAGGGAUCAACACAAUAAAUGUGUAAAUCUAUCUCUAAAGUUCAAAGAUCGAUCUAAUAAAGAUAUCGGCUGACAAAUCUUAGCAGAUUUUUUCUCUCUCACUAAUAUCAAUAUUGGCCCCAAAACUCUCACACCGGUCAGGCACUAGUGUGAACAGUGAUUACUGACCUGCAGCACAGCUAGCCCUGCUUUGACAGGCAGCUCUAUAGGAACUCCAUCAGAGUCAUCACUCUCUGGACCAAACUGAGGAAUAAGCUGUAAAACACUGAACACACAAACAACAAAGAGGUGACAUGCCAAAGAAUUAAUAAAUAAAUAAAGUGAUAAAAUCACCUUAAAAAAAAAAAAAACAGGAAAUGCCCGUUUAUAAAAUGAAGUAUUUAGGAAAUGUUUCUUUACUUUCUGGAGAUGACAACAUUUUUGUUUAAGGAUUUCAAUUGCGUGAGAUAUUUUGUAAAGUGUCUUGAGAUGACAUUUGUUAUAAAUAGGCGAUAUACAAAUAAAGAUUGAUUGAUUGAUGAUCAUAGAAUAAACAUCAGCCUGUAGUUUACUUAACAGUACGCACACAAAAAAAGGUACAGGGGUUUUUUAUUGACUGCCAUUGCCUUUUUAAGUGAGUGAAUUGUGUUUGCCUUUUGCUUUUUUAUCUACUGUAUUUAUUGACCACUGGCCUCUUACUUUGUAGUGUCUUUUUAUGUUGUAUUGAUUGUUGGUUGGAUGAAAGUACUGUAUGUUUUCCUGCUGAAUGCAAAACAAACUCUCCCUCUCACUGGGAUAAUAAAGACUACCUUGAACCCUG